rnacentral:lncRNA from 1 species
AUUCAAGAAUUAAUGCAUAUGGUUACCGUAUAAUUUAUCCCUUUGAUCUCAAAUGCUCGAGGAUGACUUAGGGUUUAACUGUCAAUCCUAGAUGAGUCAUCCAUAUUGUAUGUCAACCUUUCACAUCCAUCACAUGGAUUAUCUGGAUCUAGAUUUUAUUAAAUUGAAAUACAAUGAUGCAUUAACUCCUAUAAUCCAGAGAGAUCAAUCUCAUC